AUUAGCUUCGACGGCUUACGGAACGCAUAAGAUCUGUCAUACGACAUCCUAACUGCACUCCCCAUAUUAACCGCAACCGUUGCGUGACUCGCAAAACUGUGACAGGUAACAACGAGUAACAACACUGAAAUACGAAUCCAGGUGGUCGAAAGUAGACCUUGAAUUUAGAAAUUCAGAGAUGGCUUUUUCAAGUGCAACACGUUGCGUAAUUGUUGUGGUAUUGGCUGUGGCAAUACUGGGUGUGCUAAUGGUUCCCUCUGAAGCGAAACCCAGGGGAUUCGGCAGGACGUAUACAAGGAACAGUUGGAAGACAUCCAAAACAAGCUCACGAAAAUCCUGUUUAACGGAUAAAGACACAGAUGCUUGUGGAAUGGGUGGAAGAGGGUGGCUUCAGAACCUAUCGGAGUGUUGCUCGGGUUACAAAUGCGUGUACGUUAUCAAGAAAGUCAACACUUUUUCCAACUUUAAACCAACUCCCGUGUGUAGGAAAGCCUGAAUAAAGUGAAAUGAUAAUCUUCGAAGUUCCAGUAUGUCUUAUUAUUU